rnacentral:rRNA from 1 species
UACGGGGGGGGCAAGCGUUGUUCGGAAUUACUGGGCGUAAAGGGCUCGUAGGUGCCAGCUAAUACGGUGAUGUGAAAUCCCCAAGCUUAACUUGGGAACUGCAUCCGAUACUGGAUGGCUUGAAUCCGGGAGAGGGAUGCAGAAUUCCAGGUGUAGCGGUGAAAUGCGUAGAUAUCUGGAGGAAUACCGGUGGCGAAGGCGGCAUCCUGGACCGGCAUUGACGCUGAGGAGCGAAAGCUAGGGGAGCAAACGGGG